GGGGGGGGCAAGCGUUGUUCGGAAUUACUGGGCGUAAAGGGCUCGUAGGUGGCCCCAUAAGUCAGACGUGAAAUCCCUUGGCUUAACCAAGGAACUGCGUCUGAGACUGCGGGGCUUGAAUCCGGGAGAGGGAUGCGGAAUUCCAGGUGUAGCGGUGAAAUGCGUAGAUAUCUGGAGGAACACCGGUGGCGAAGGCGGCAUCCUGGACCGGUAUUGACACUGAGGAGCGAAAGCCAGGGGAGCAAACGGGAUUAGAUACCCUGGUAGUCCUAGCCCUAAACGAUGAAUACUUGGUGUGGCGGGUAUCGAUCCCUGCCGUGCCGAAGCUAACGCAUUAAGCAUUCCGCCUGGGGAGUACGGUCGCAAGGCUG
rnacentral:rRNA from 1 species